UAACAAUGCUUGAUAUGGCGGCGACUCGAAGAAGGCUUGCCAUUCUCAGUUCUCAUAUACGCACCUCCAGCCUCUAACCUUUUUCGCUGAACGGCGAUUGAGCGAUUCUAACGAAGAUAGACAAAAGAACGAUUGCGUUUUUUGCAAGAUUAUCAGCGGUGAAUGGACGGCUUUUAAGGAAAAUUUUAUUUUCGGUUCAGAAAAAAAUAAAAAAGAUUACACGAUUCAUUCAGCUUGCUGGUUAACAAUGGUGCAGCUGCAGGACAAGUUAUAUUUCGCGUGAGUUGUUAUAAGUUUCAGAACAAAGCAUUUAUGGUGAUGUAUGUUCUGUUUCAGACAAAAAAAUGGAGCACUUUAAUUGAAUUUAGAAAUAGUUUUUCUUUUGGAUAUUGUUAAGGUUCAUUGAGAAAGAUUUCAAGGUCUGAUUGAUUUUGCUUACUGAAA